rnacentral:tRNA from 1 species
AGAAAGUUAGUCUAAACAAGACAAUUGAUUUCGACUCAAUAAAUCAUAGUUCUACCCUAUGACUUUCUC